UCCACCGGGAAGGCCUACCUGUCUCCAGAUGGGGUACAUGGGAAAGUACAACUCCCAAGCCUGCCCAGGACUGAUGCGACAGCGCAAUGAAUGCAAAACCACUGGGUCAUUCAACAUGUAUUGAGCACCUACUAUGUGACUGUCCGCGCUCUGGGCACUGGGGAUACAGCAGUAGAUCAAAUGGAAAAGGCUCCUGUCCUGCAGGGGUGGAUGUGGCCACUGGGGGACAGAAUGUCAGGAAGGAAUGCGAGCUGGGACUAAAACAGAAAGCAAACCUCAGACAACCCAAAUGGCCACCAACAAGUGAAAGCACAAAGGAACGACAGUACAUCCAGACACCUGGAAACCUACUCAGUAAUUAAAGGAACGAGCCACCGGUACACGCAGCCACAUGGCUGACUCUAUGACACUGCUGAGUGAAAAAGGCCAGACACAGAUGAGGUCACUGUGGCACAGAGAGGCUGACUGACUUGCCCGAGGCCACACAGCUUGGAAGUACUGGAGGCUGAAAUUCAAGGAAGCUCCUGGAAGUGACCACCCACAGGGAGGAGACAACGGGGGUGUCUGCUAUGCCCAGUAUCUACCAGUUUUGUGACUUCAACCUGGUCUCAGUUCUUUCAUGUGCAAAAUGGGGCUGUUCCUAGUACCUGCCUCCUAGGGUUGUGGCCAGGAUAAAAUCAUUUGUGUGAAACAGUCCUUGGCACCUUGUAGGCAUGAGGUGCAACUUCUCUAUGUGUGUCUCUAAGGUAAGGGAUGGGAGUAGUUAGAUAUUUCAAAUGAUUUAAUAUCGAAACAGUUAUUUCCCAUCUUCCUCUUUCAAGCCUGUGGAUCAACUGAAGAGUAGCCAGAGCCGGUAAGAAAAACGAUGAAAGAAAAUACGGUUGCUAUUCUACGUACAACCCUUGUAUAUAUUCCUUGCGAUUUUUCACAAAACCGUGCAAAUAAGACAAAGUACAUAAAUGCAAUGAAUAUGAAGACCAUAGUCCUCUACAGCCUCUCAAUGCUUGUUUUAC